rnacentral:rRNA from 1 species
UACGUAGGGGGCAAGCGUUAUCCAGAUUUACUGGGCGUAAAGCGCGUGUAGGCGGCUGGUUAGGUGUGAUGUGAAAUCUUCCGGCUCAACCGGAAAACUGCAUUGCAAACCGGCCUGGCUAGAGUGCAGGAGAGGGAAGCGGAAUUCCAGGUGUAGCGGUGAAAUGCAUAGAUAUCUGGAGGAACACCAGUGGCGAAGGCGGCUUCCUGGCCUGCAACUGACGCUGAGACGCGAAAGCGUGGGGAGCGAACCGG